rnacentral:rRNA from 1 species
CGAGUGGCGGACGGGUGAGUAAUGCUUGGGGAUCUGGCUUAUGGAGGGGGAUAACGACGGGAAACUGUCGCUAAUACCGCGUAGUAUCGGGAGAUGAAAGACUGGGACCGCAAGGCCAGUUGCCAUAAGAUGAGCCCAAGUGGGAUUAGGUAGUUGGUGGGGUAAAGGCCUACCAAGCCGACGAUCUCUAGCUGGUCUGAGAG